CCCCCCUCAAGAUGAGAUUUCCCUGGCUUUAUAGCCUAAGACCCCUGAAAGAUGAUCAGGUUGAUAGGUCCGAGGUAGAAGUGUGGUGACACAUGUAGCUGACGGAUACUAAUCGGUCAAGGACUUAAUCAA
rnacentral:rRNA from 1 species